rnacentral:rRNA from 1 species
AUUGAACGCUGGCGGCAGGCCUAACACAUGCAAGUCGAACGGUAACAGAAAGCAGCUUGCUGCUUUGCUGACGAGUGGCGGACGGGUGAGUAAUGUCUGGGAAACUGCCUGAUGGAGGGGGAUAACUACUGGAAACGGUAGCUAAUACCGCAUAACGUCGCAAGACCAAAGAGGGGGACCUUCGGGCCUCUUGCCAUCGGAUGUGCCCAGAUGGGAUUAGCUUGUUGGUGGGGUAACGGCUCACCAAGGCGACGAUCCCUAGCUGGUCUGAGGGGAUGACCAGUCACACUGGAACUGAGACACGGUCCAGACUCCUACGGGAGUCAGCAGUGGGGAAUAUUGCACAAUGGGCGCAAGCCUGAUGCAGCCAUGCCGCGUGUAUGAAGAAGGCCUUCGGGUUGUAAAGUACUUUCAGCGGGGAGGAAGGGAGUAAAGUUAAUACCUUUGCUCAUUGACGUUACCCGCAGAAGAAGCACCGGCUAACUCCGUGCCAGCAGCCGCCGUAA